UUCGCAAUGCCCGAAAGGGUGACGAUGCGACGCCGCGUGAGCGAAGAAGACCCUAGGGUUGUAAAGCUCUGUCGAGGGUUAUGAAAUAUAGAUGGGUUAAUACCCCAUUUAUUUGACAAAAGCCCAAAAGGAAGCCACGGCUAACUCUGUGCCAGCAGCCGCGGUAAUACAGAGGUGGCGAGCGUUGUUCGGUAUUAUUGGGCGUAAAGAGCACGUAGGUGGUUUUGUAAGUCAGGUGUGAAAGCCUUCUGUUCAAAGGAAGAACGGCAUCUGAAACUGCAGAUCUUGAGUGUAGGAGGGGAGAGUGGAACUUCUGGUGGAGCGGUGAAAUGCGUAGAUAUCAGAAGGAACGUCGGCGGCGAAAGCGACUCUCUGGCCUAUUACUGACACUGAGUGUGCGAAAGUUAGGGGAGCAAACGGGAUUAGAUACCCCGGUAGUCCUAACCGUAAACGAUGGGCACUAAGUAGAGGGGUUUU
rnacentral:rRNA from 1 species